GCCAUGCGCGGGAAUAGAUUGUUUGAUCCUGGCUCAGGAUGAACGCCGGCGGUGUGCCUAAUACAUGCAAGUCGAGCGCACUGGCCCAACUGAUAUGACGUGCUUGCACUGAUUUGACGAUGGAUCACCAGUGAGCGGCGGACGGGUGAGUAACACGUGGGCAACCUGCCCUGGAGCGGGGGAUAACAUUUGGAAACAGAUGCUAAUACCGCAUAACAAUCAAAACCGCAUGGUUUUGAUUUCAGAGAUGGUUUCGGCUAUCACUCCAGGAUGGGCCCGCGGUGCAUUAGCUAGUUGGUAAGGUAACGGCUUACCAAGGCGAUGAUGCAUAGCCGAGUUGAGAGACUGAUCGGCCACAAUGGAACUGAGACACGGUCCAUACUCCUACGGGAGGCAGCAGUAGGGAAUCUUCCACAAUGGGCGCAAGCUGAUGGAGCAACACCGCGUGAGUGAAGAAGGGUUUCGGCUCGUAAAACUCUGUUGUUGAAGAAGAACGUGCGUGAGAGUGACUGUUCACGCAGUGACGGUAUUCAACCAGAAAGUCACGGCUAACUACGUGCCAGCAGCCGCGGUAAUACGUAGGUGGCAAGCGUUAUCCGGAUUUAUUGGGCGUAAAGCGAGCGCAGGCGGUUACUUAAGUCUGAUGUGAAAGCCUUCGGCUUAACCGAAGAAGUGCAUCGGAAACUGGGUGACUUGAGUGCAGAAGAGGACAGUGGAACUCCAUGUGUAGC
rnacentral:rRNA from 1 species